GACGAACGCUGGCGGCGUGCUUAACACAUGCAAGUCGAACGAAGUGGCGAACGGGUGAGUAACGCGUAAUCAACCUGCCCUUCUGCGGGGGACAACAGUUGGAAACGACUGCUAAUACCGCAUACUGAGGGAGGGGCUUGCGUCUGAUUAGCUAGUUGGCGGGGUAACGGCCCACCAAGGCGAGGGUCGGUAGCCCGUCUUAGAGGGUGAACGGCCACCUGUGGGAUGAGACACGGCCCAGACUCCUACGGGAGGCAGCAGUGGGGAAUCUUCCGCAAUGGAAGAAAGUAUGACGGGGCAACGCCGCGUGAGGGAUGACGGCUUUCUGGUUGGAAAGCUCGGUUAAUCGGGACGCGGUACCGGAAUAGAAAGCCACGGCUAACUACGUGCCAGCAGCCGCGGUAAUUC
rnacentral:rRNA from 1 species